GAUGAACGCUGGCGGCGUGCUUAACACAUGCAAGUCGAACGAUCAUUCGCAAGGAUGAUAGUGGCGGACGGGUGAGUAACACGUAGGUGACCUGCCCUAGAGAGGGGAAUAACUACUGGAAACGGUGGCUAAUACCCCAUGUGCUCGGCAGUUCGGUCUGUCGAGGAAAGCUCCGGCGCUCUGGGAGGGGCCUGCGGCCCAUCAGGUAGUUGGUAGGGUAAAGGCCUACCAAGGCAAAGACGGGUAGGGGGCCUGAGAGGGUGACCCCCCACACUGGCACUGAAACACGGGCCAGACACCUACGGGUGGCAG
rnacentral:rRNA from 1 species